AAAUUGAAGAGUUUGAUCAUGGCUCAGAUUGAACGCUGGCGGCAGGCCUAACACAUGCAAGUCGAACGGUAACAGGAAGCAGCUUGCUGCUUCGCUGACGAGUGGCGGACGGGUGAGUAAUGUCUGGGAAACUGCCUGAUGGAGGGGGAUAACUACUGGAAACGGUAGCUAAUACCGCAUAACGUCGCAAGACCAAAGAGGGGGACCUUCGGGCCUCUUGCCAUCGGAUGUGCCCAGAUGGGAUUAGCUAGUAGGUGGGGUAACGGCUCACCU
rnacentral:rRNA from 1 species